GACGAACGCUGGCGGCGUGCUUAACACAUGCAAGUCGAACGGUAAGGCCCUUCGGGGUACACGAGUGGCGAACGGGUGAGUAACACGUGGGUGAUCUGCCCUGCACUUCGGGAUAAGCCUGGGAAACUGGGUCUAAUACCGGAUAGGACCACUGCCUGCAUGGGUGGUGGUGGAAAGCUUUUGCGGUGUGGGAUGGGCCCGCGGCCUAUCAGCUUGUUGGUGGGGUGAUGGCCUACCAAGGCGACGACGGGUAGCCGGCCUGGGGGGGUGACCGGCCACACGGGGACUGAGAUACGGCCCAGACUCCUACGGGAGGCAACAGUGGGGAAUAUUGCACAAUGGGCGCAAGCCUGAUGCAGCGACGCCGCGUGAGGGAUGACGGCCUUCGGGUUGUAAACCUCUUUCAGCACCGACGAAGCGCAAGUGACGGUAGGUGCAGAAGAAGGACCGGCCAACUACGUGCCAGCCGCCGCCGUAA
rnacentral:rRNA from 1 species